GAAUCCAGCACAUGGCUACAGCUAAUGUACAUAAGAAAAAACUUAAGCUGCACACCUCAAGGAGCUAACCAUUGAAGGAGGAAGAGAUGAGUAAGAGAUGCAAAAUGAAAGUGAAAGAAGAACUGGAUGAAGCGAGAGAUUAGCAAGUGCUGUGCUGAUGGUGGGGUUGGGGAGGAAGGCUUGCCUGGCUAAGUGAGACUACCGCUGAGCCUCAAAGGCCAGGAAGCAACAGAUGUUACAAAAUGAGAGUGGAGGAAGCAUAUUCCAGGUGGGAGAACAGUUUGGGACAGGGGUUGGCAAACUAUGGCCUGUCUCCUGUUUUUGUAAAUAAAGUUUUUUUUUUUUUUUUUGAGGUGGAGUCUUGCUCGGUCACCAGUCUGGAGUGUAGUGGCGUGAUCUCGGCUCACUGCAACCUCCAUCUCCCAGGUUCAAGCAAUUCUCCUGCCUCAGCCUCCUGAGUAGCUGGGACUACAGGUGCAUGCUGCCACCAUGCCCAGCUCAUUUUUGUAUUUUUAGUAGAGAUGGGGUUUCACCAUUUUGGCCAGGAUGGUCUUGAUCUCCUGACCUUGUGAUCCACAUGCCUCGGCCUCCCAAAGUGCUGGGAUUACAGGUGUGAGCCACCGCGCCCGGACGUAAAGAAAGUUUUAUUGAGACACAGCCAUGCCCAUGAAUGCUUUCAUGCUUCAACAGCAGAAUUAAGUAGUUGCCACAAAGACCUGGCCUGCACAGCCUAAAAUAUGUCUUGGCCAAGAAGUCUGAAUCAACCAUGGUCUCCUCCAAAGACGAGAGUUGAAUAUGUACCUAUUAAGUGGUUGUCAGAUCCUUUUCUGAAAAUGGAUAGUUAAUGAUACCACCACUAUCAGGAUGAACAGCAAUUUCCCACUGAUGAAUCGCACCACCACCACCUCUACCACCAUCAUCACCGUCAACUUUCCCUGAGGCUUUUCUACUCUUUCCUCAUCCCCAAUUUCUUUCCGGUGAUUUAACAAAAUGACAAGAGCUUUGGAACAAAGAAGACCCCACUCAAUAACUUCAUAGCUGUGUGACCCUGGGCAAGUCACUUCACCUCUAUGAGGUUAAGUUUCCUCAUCUGUUAGAUGGGUUUUUUGUAAAAACUACAAGGCACCUAGGCAAGGAUUGUCACAUGUGUGGAGAUCUGAAUAAAUGGUGGCUUAUUUUCACGGUGUGGACAAAUCAGUCAGCAUACCUUGCUGAUUUCCAUUUUAAUGUCCUGAAGUGUUUCAUUCACUCGAAUGGAGCGGACCACCAUGAUUUCUCUUCAUGAAUUUUGGUUUCCCAGUUGAACAAUACUGCUUGAGGCCUCUAAGCCAAAAAUGUGGGCUUUCAGCGAUCUAGGCCACCACAUCUGGCAAGAAGAACAAAGCUGUCCUGACACGCUGGGUGGGGAUUUGUCCCUGUGUGACCCUCUUAGCCCCACUUCCAACCAUCUGGUUACCCAGAGAGUUGACUGGGCAUGAGGCAAGAGGCAAGAGGCUUUGCCAUGAACCAGCUUAAGGAAAUAGAAACUCUCAUUCUUUUUUUUUUUUUGUCAGGAAAACAUGAAAAAUCACAUCAUAUGUGAGGCAAUACUCUGGGAUGCUAACCUAGUCUUUAGUGUUCCUGUUUCCUUUGAUAAUCUACUUCAGUAAAUGGAAACUAAAUUGCUCCAUUAAAUUUCUAAACACUACAUUAAGAAGAUAAACAGACAAAACAAAAACCUCUCAGUCUGCAAGGGAUAAAUCCAAAACCAAACAGUGGGACACAAUGUUCUCCAGAAACAAUUAGACUUGACUUUCACACCAAAAAAAAUGUAAUCAUCAGUGAUGUCUUAGAAUUGCAGGGUUUUGAAUGAAACUUAAGAAUGAAACUAUGGUGCUCAAAAGCACUAACUCAUGGUGGUUACUGUUAUCCCCCAAAGAUCAUUUCAUUCUGGUAACCCAAUGAGGUAGGUACUAUUUUUCUUUCCAUUUAAUAGGUGACAAAACUGAGGCACAGUGAGGUUAGUAACAUAACUAGCAAGUGUGAGACACCGGAAUUUUAACAUGGUUCAUAGCUACCAUGCUGUUUUGCCUCUCAUGAUCUGGAAGUGACUCCAGUGCUCAGUGCCAGGGGAAGCCCAGGCUCCUAUUUGAGCAGGCUCCCAAGACACCAAGGGUCUAUCAAGUUGCCAAGGAAAAACUCAUUCAGGCUCAGGACAUCAGUUUCUAAAGUGCAUUCCCAUACCCUAGGUAUCUGGAAAUCCAUCAUAACCUUAAGUAUUAAUAGUAUAUUUAUCCCCAUUUCACGGCCACAGGAACUAAGGCUGUUGAAAGUUAAACAACUUUUCUGAGUUUGGACACAUCAUCUACAUUUCUCAUCUAAUUCCCAGACACUGUUCUUUCCCUGAUGACAUAUAUCCAAGUUUAAGCACAACCAAGCAAGGGUUGAGAAAGCUUCAGACAUUUACAAAGCUCCCUUCAUACCUAGUACUGUGCUUAGACCAGGAACACAGGGAGGUAGAGGGCAGCAGAGCAGGGACUGGCUUCAGAGCCAGACAGGUGGCUAUGUGACUUAAUGUGUCUGAACCCUGGUAUCCUAGUCUAUUAAAUGGUAUAACAGCAGCUUCUAGUAUGUAAGUUCCUUGUCAGGAGAAAAACUGUUUUGCUCAUGGCUGGAGCCUUAGCAUGUUGCAUCAUAUUGAACAUGUAAUAGAUGCUCAAUAAAUAUAU
rnacentral:lncRNA from 10 species